rnacentral:lncRNA from 1 species
AUAUACAUAUAGUUUAUGCUGUUGUGGGAGAGAGAUAAAACGAAUAGAUUAUUUCGAGUUGAAUCAAGAGAUAAAAAUUUAAUUGUUCAAAAUUCAAAUAAUCAAAUGGAAGAUAAUGGUAGUAAUCAGGGAGAUAAUGAAUUUCAAGAUGACUUACCUAUUAGAACGCUUCGUGAUUAUCUACAACCCACUAGGACCAGUACCCC